rnacentral:lncRNA from 1 species
CCACCCCUACAAAUUUUACUCUGCAAUCCAGCCACCUAUUACCUGCUAUCAUGGCUAGAGACGAUCUUCCCACUUUUGGUAAUCAGCCAAGGGAUGUAGGUUAGUGUGCAUGGGUGCUCAAAAUAUUUGCACCGCAAAUGGAGGAGAUAGUGUGCAAAACCGCAGAGUUGACUUGUGAUUUUGUUUUGAUUUUUUUUUUGUUUUUUUCGUCUUUUUUUUUCCUUUUUUUUUCUUUUUUUUUUUCUUAUUUUCUCCUUUUUCUCGUUUUCUUUUUCUUUAAUCUUUUCUUUUUCCUUUCUUUUUUUUCUCUUUUUUUAGAAUUUUUUGUUAACAUAAAAAUUUAAGUAAAAGAACUGAUAAAAAUAAAACUAAACAACAAAAGAAAUUAAUGUAAAAGAGAACAAUGGAAAAUAAAAUACAAACUAAAUAAAAAUAUAAAAAUAAAAUAAAAAACUAACAAAAUUAAAAUGAAAAUAAGGCAAAAUAAAAUAACAAAAACAAAACAUGUAUUAUUUAAUUAUCCGGACGAAAUUAGGUGUUGACACCAACUAAACGAAUUUUGUGAGAUCAUUGUCAACAGUUCUGGCCAUUGCCU